rnacentral:misc_RNA from 1 species
CAAGGAAACGAGGCCGCGUGCGCUCGCCCGCCCGGCCCCGCUCCUUACCUUGCCUACUGCACCGUUUGCUGCUUCCUGGCGGCUGGACUGCCCGCCGCCAGGGACGUUGAUACAAUCCUGUAUAGAAGCAUUGAAGCUCUGAGAAAACGCGAAAUCGUA